AAACUUUGAGGACGGAACGGGCCGCCGUCGCCCCAGUUUAUGGGUUCGGAGAUGCAGGAAUUUCACCCUGCCUGAAUUU
rnacentral:ncRNA from 1 species